rnacentral:rRNA from 1 species
GACGAACGCUGGCGGCGUGCCUAAUACAUGCAAGUUGAGCGCUGAAGGUUGGUACUUGUACCAACUGGAUGAGCAGCGAACGGGUGAGUAACGCGUGGGGAAUCUGCCUUUGAGCGGGGGACAACAUUUGGAAACGAAUGCUAAUACCGCAUAAAAACUUUAAACACAAGUUUUAAGUUUGAAAGAUGCAAUUGCAUCACUCAAAGAUGAUCCCGCGUUGUAUUAGCUAGUUGGUGAGGUAAAGGCUCACCAAGGCGAUGAUACAUAGCCACCCUGAGAGGGUGACGGGCCACAUGGGGACGGAGAAACGGCCCAAACUCCUACGGGAGGCAGCAGAAGGAAUCUUCGGCAAUGGACGAAAGUCUGACCGAGCAACGCCGCGUGAGUGAAGAAGGUUUUCGGAUCGUAAAACUCUGUUGGUAGAGAAGAACGUUGGUGAGAGUGGAAAGCUCAUCAAGUGACGGUAACUACCCAGAAAGGGACGGCUAACUACGUG